rnacentral:rRNA from 1 species
UAAGCGACUAAGCGUACACGGUGGAUGCCCUGGCAGUCAGAGGCGAUGAAGGGCGUGCUAAUCUGCGAUAAGCGCCGGUAAGGUGAUAUGAACCGUUAUAACCGGCGAUACCCGAAUGGGGAAACCCAGUGUGACUCGUCACACUAUCAUUAACUGAAUCCAUAGGUUAAUGAGGCGAACCGGGGGAACUGAAACAUCUAAGUACCCCGAGGAAAAGAAAUCAACCGAGAUUCCCCCAGUAGCGGCGAGCGAACGGGGAGGAGCCCAGAGCCUGAAUCAGCAUGUGUGUUAGUGGAAGCGUCUGGAAAGGCGCGCGAUACAGGGUGACAGCCCCGUACACAAAAGCGCAUGUGCUGUGAGCUCGAUGAGUAGGGCGGGACACGUGGUAUCCUGUCUGAAUAUGGGGGGACCAUCCUCCAAGGCUAAAUACUCCUGACUGACCGAUAGUGAACCAGUACCGUGAGGGAAAGGCGAAAAGAACCCCGGCGAGGGGAGUGAAAAAGAACCUGAAACCGUGUACGUACAAGCAGUGGGAGCACAGGUUUACCUGUGUGACUGCGUACCUUUUGUAUAAUGGGUCAGCGACUUAUAUUCUGUAGCAAGGUUAACCGAAUAGGGGAGCCGGAGGGAAACCGAGUCUUAAUUGGGCGUUAAGUUGCAGGGUAUAGACCCGAAACCCGGUGAUCUAGCCAUGGGCAGGUUGAAGGUUGGGUAACACUAACUGGAGGACCGAACCGACUAAUGUUGAAAAAUUAGCGGAUGACCUGUGGCUGGGGGUGAAAGGCCAAUCAAACCGGGAGAUAGCUGGUUCUCCCCGAAAGCUAUUUAGGUAGCGCCUCGUGAAUUCAUCUCCGGGGGUAGAGCACUGUUUCGGCUAGGGGGCCAUCCCGGCUUACCAACCCGAUGCAAACUGCGAAUACCGGAGAAUGUUAUCACGGGAGACACACGGCGGGUGCUAACGUCCGUCGUGAAGAGGGAAACAACCCAGACCGCCAGCUAAGGUCCCAAAGUCAUGGUUAAGUGGGAAACGAUGUGGGAAGGCCCAGACAGCCAGGAUGUUGGCUUAGAAGCAGCCAUCAUUUAAAGAAAGCGUAAUAGCUCACUGGUCGAGUCGGCCUGCGCGGAAGAUGUAACGGGGCUAAACCAUGCACCGAAGCUGCGGCAGCGACACUGUGUGUUGUUGGGUAGGGGAGCGUUCUGUAAGCCUGCGAAGGUGGCCUGUGAGGGUUGCUGGAGGUAUCAGAAGUGCGAAUGCUGACAUAAGUAACGAUAAAGCGGGUGAAAAGCCCGCUCGCCGGAAGACCAAGGGUUCCUGUCCAACGUUAAUCGGGGCAGGGUGAGUCGACCCCUAAGGCGAGGCCGAAAGGCGUAGUCGAUGGGAAACGGGUUAAUAUUCCCGUACUUGGUGUUACUGCGAAGGGGGGACGGAGAAGGCUAUGUUGGCCGGGCGACGGUUGUCCCGGUUUAAGCGUGUAGGUGUGUGUUCCAGGUAAAUCCGGUUCACUUUAACACUGAGGCGUGACGACGAGGCACUACGGUGCUGAAGCAACAAAUGCCCUGCUUCCAGGAAAAGCCUCUAAGCAUCAGGUAACAUCAAAUCGUACCCCAAACCGACACAGGUGGUCAGGUAGAGAAUACCAAGGCGCUUGAGAGAACUCGGGUGAAGGAACUAGGCAAAAUGGUGCCGUAACUUCGGGAGAAGGCACGCUGACACGUAGGUGAAGUGAUUUACUCAUGGAGCUGAAGUCAGUCGAAGAUACCAGCUGGCUGCAACUGUUUAUUAAAAACACAGCACUGUGCAAACACGAAAGUGGACGUAUACGGUGUGACGCCUGCCCGGUGCCGGAAGGUUAAUUGAUGGGGUCAGCGCAAGCGAAGCUCCUGAUCGAAGCCCCGGUAAACGGCGGCCGUAACUAUAACGGUCCUAAGGUAGCGAAAUUCCUUGUCGGGUAAGUUCCGACCUGCACGAAUGGCGUAAUGAUGGCCAGGCUGUCUCCACCCGAGACUCAGUGAAAUUGAACUCGCUGUGAAGAUGCAGUGUACCCGCGGCAAGACGGAAAGACCCCGUGAACCUUUACUAUAGCUUGACACUGAACAUUGAGCCUUGAUGUGUAGGAUAGGUGGGAGGCUUUGAAGUGUGGACGCCAGUCUGCAUGGAGCCGACCUUGAAAUACCACCCUUUAAUGUUUGAUGUUCUAACGUGGACCCGUUACCCGGGUUGCGGACAGUGUCUGGUGGGUAGUUUGACUGGGGCGGUCUCCUCCUAAAGAGUAACGGAGGAGCACGAAGGUUGGCUAAUCCUGGUCGGACAUCAGGAGGUUAGUGCAAUGGCAUAAGCCAGCUUGACUGCGAGCGUGACGGCGCGAGCAGGUGCGAAAGCAGGUCAUAGUGAUCCGGUGGUUCUGAAUGGAAGGGCCAUCGCUCAACGGAUAAAAGGUACUCCGGGGAUAACAGGCUGAUACCGCCCAAGAGUUCAUAUCGACGGCGGUGUUUGGCACCUCGAUGUCGGCUCAUCACAUCCUGGGGCUGAAGUAGGUCCCAAGGGUAUGGCUGUUCGCCAUUUAAAGUGGUACGCGAGCUGGGUUUAGAACGUCGUGAGACAGUUCGGUCCCUAUCUGCCGUGGGCGCUGGAGAACUGAGGGGGGCUGCUCCUAGUACGAGAGGACCGGAGUGGACGCAUCACUGGUGUUCGGGUUGUCAUGCCAAUGGCACUGCCCGGUAGCUAAAUGCGGAAGAGAUAAGUGCUGAAAGCAUCUAAGCACGAAACUUGCCCCGAG